UACGAAGGGGGCUAGCGUUGUUCGGAAUCACUGGGCGUAAAGAGCGUGUAGGCGGCUGGGGUUGGUCCGUUGUGAAAACUCGAGCUCAACCUCGAGACGCCGAUGGAAACCCCCCAGCCUAGAGUCCGGAAGAGGAGAGUGGAAUUCCUGGUGUAGCGGUGAAAUGCGCAGAUAUCAGGAAGAACACCCGUGGCUAAGGCGGCUCUCUGGGACGGUACUGACGCUGAGACGCGAAAAGCGUGGGGGAGCGAAACAGGGAUU
rnacentral:rRNA from 1 species